AGAACGAACGCUGGCGGCAUGCCUAAUACAUGCAAGUCGAACGAACUCUUCGGAGUUAGUGGCGCACGGGUGCGUAACGCGUGGGAAUCUGCCCCUUGGUUCGGAAUAACAGUUGGAAACGACUGCUAAUACCGGAUGAUGACGAAAGUCCAAAGAUUUAUCGCCAAGGGAUGAGCCCGCGUAGGAUUAGCUAGUUGGUGAGGUAAAGGCUCACCAAGGCAACGAUCCUUAGCUGGUCUGAGAGGAUGAUCAGCCACACGUGGGACUGAGACGACCGGCCCAGACCUCCGUACGGGGAGGCAG
rnacentral:rRNA from 1 species